UUCAAAUCUGCCAAUAUGGUUAUUUUUCAAUAAUUUUUCCUGAAAGAAUUUUAACCAUUUUGGUAGUUUUCGAGUAUAAACCAGAAAAUGGUUGAAUAAUUCGAUGUUCUCUAUAUCGCCAUUUUGAAAACGGUUCAAAUUGCAGCCGGACGCCCAUAAAGCAAUUUGAUUUCUUCCGCGGAACAGCAUCCAGUUUCCCGAAAAACCGGUUCUGGGAAUCGUGGAAACUUCGGAUUUGUAGGAGAUGGAGAAAGGGUACCGAUUGGAUCAAUCCGGUUCAAUUCCGUUUCAUACUCCUAACUUGAGAAGGACGAGGCCUCGCUCACCGGUUCAUCGUUUCCAGCCACAGCAAAUGAAAAUACACAAGGAAUCGUUUUUAACACCAUCCGGAAGGAGCUGGAACGGGCCGGUAUGUUUGAAAAAACAUCACCAGCCAAUCGAAGAUUAUUCACCAGGCCCUUUUUCUCCACCCCUCACCCCGUUAAAAAUAGCAGACUAGCGAUGAUAGUAUUGGCCAUCCCGCAGGAGCUCUUUUUCUUAUAAGGUUUGGUUUGCGCUCGCGGGGGAACUUUACUUCUGCUACCAGGUGAUUCGGCUGCUGUUGGUGUAAAGCUGGUGGCAAUUUCAACUAUUCGGUUGAUUUUUUUUAAUUUUUUUAGGAAUCAAAUAAAUAAGAAUAUUUAAUUGGAAAA